rnacentral:rRNA from 1 species
ACGGAAGGCAGCAGUGGGGAAUAUUGGACAAUGGGGGAAACCCUGAUCCAGCGACGCCGCGUGAGUGAAGAAGUAUUUCGGUAUGUAAAGCUCUAUCAGCAGGGAAGAUAAUGACGGUACCUGACUAAGAAGCCCCGGCUAAAUACGUGCCAGCAGCCGCGGUAAUACGUAUGGUGCAAGCGUUAUCCGGAUUUACUGGGUGUAAAGGGUGCGUAGGUGGUAUGGCAAGUCAGAAGUGAAAACUAUGGGCUCAACCCAUAGACUGCUUUUGAAACUGUCAAACUAGAGUGCAGGAGAGGAAAGAAGAAUUCCUAGUGUAGCGGUGAAAUGCGUAGAUAUUAGGAGGAAUACCAGUGGCGAAGGCGUCUUUCUGGACUGUUACUGACACUGAGGCACGAAAGCGUGGGGAGCAAACAGGAUUAGAUACCCUGGUA